UUCAUCUCUGCUGUCUGAAGACUAAUCUACAGGAUUAUUAGAUUAUUGAUGAACUGGAACCAAACAACAUGAUGAACAGCUGAUGUUCAGAUGUGAUGUUUAGAUGAGCAGAACUCUGUCGACCCAAUCAGAGCUUCACGGCUCCAGAUGAUCCGUCUAAAAUCUAAAUAUCUGGGAGCUUAAAGACAGGAACGUCCUUCAUGUCCAAUAAAGCCCGGACUUCACUGUGGCUCCACUUCUCUGGCUCUGGCUCCAUUUUGGUAAAUGUGAAGGUAGAAAGUGUGUGUGAGCUGAUGUGGAUGUGAAUUCAGCAGCAUG